UACGUAGGGGGCUAGCGUUGUCCGGAAUCAUUGGGCGUAAAGCGCGCGUAGGCGGCCCGAUAAGUCUGCUGUGAAAGUCCAGGGCUCAACCCUGGAAUGCCGGUGGAUACUGUCGGGCUAGAGUUCGGAAGAGGCAAGUGGAAUUCCCGGUGUAGUGGUGAAAUGCGUAGAUAUCGGGAGGAACACCAGUGGCGAAGGCGACUUCCUGGCCUGUUCUUGACGCUGAGGCCCGAAAGCUGGGGGAGCAAACGGG
rnacentral:rRNA from 1 species